rnacentral:sRNA from 1 species
UCGAGGCAUGGUGGCGCAUGCCUGUAAUCCCAGUGGCUUGGAGGCUGAGGCAGGAGGAUCGCAAGCUCAAAGCCAGCCUCAGCAACUUAGCAAGACCUUGUCUCUA